AUACUCUGGUUUCUCUUCAGAUCACAUAAAUCUUUCAUCUUUUAUUAAAGAUUUCCAUGGAGAGGGACAUUGAGUUUGUAACAGAAUGUCCCACAUAUUACCAAUGUAAGGUU